GGCGACAAACCUACCGAGCCUGGUGAUAG
rnacentral:piRNA from 1 species